GGGCGCCGGACGACAAAGUACUACUAGUACUACUACUCCCUGUCCGUCUGCUCGACCCGAUCAGCUCAGCAAGCAACCGCUCUUUUUAGCCCCCACUCUCCCCACGACUCCCUCGACAAAGUGGAACGCUCCCCGACUCCGACCAAGAGCUCGAGCGCCGAUCAUCGUCCGUCCAUGGUGAGGUCCAACUCCCUCGACAGCUGCUACUCCUCCAUCCAGGACGUCACCUACAGCUGCGGGUACUGCGGCUACGCGCUGAACCUGAGCUCGGCGGCGCGGAACACGGCGGGCAUCGGCUCCAAGUACGGCAAGAAUAUCAGGAAGAAGGGCGUCGUCGCCUUCGUCGCCGUCGACGAGACGCGCUUCACGCAGGCCGACGAGGUCACCUGCGCGCCCCGCCUCUGCCCCUGGACCUGGCGCCUCUUCAGGCGGAGGUCGCGCCUGCUCUGCGGCAAGUGCGGCGGCCGCAUCGGCGCCGCCUACGAGGUCGACGAGGACGAGGACCCCGCCGGCCUGUCCGCGUGCGGCGGCUCGGACGACGACGACGACCUGCGGACGAGCCCGGGCGACGAUAGCGGCGGCGUCGGCGCGUCGAGGCGCAGGAACUACCUCAUCAGGAUCGGCGCGCUGCAGCCCUCGACGGACGAUCCCCCUCCUGCUGACCCCUUCUCUCUAUGAUAUGAUAUGACACACCGUUGCUGAAUUUUGUUCCUUUGUUCAUAUUGGAAGACAGACCCCAGAGUUUGAUGUGUUCAACUCGCUGGGAAUUCGGAAUUGGAGCACAACAUUAAGGUUUGCAGUCAAGGCUCCAGGUCAGUCCAUGCAACCAGUACCCCAGUUAAUCAGUUGGAUUCAAUGGGACUAGAAACACCAUUUUUCUGUUCCAAAAAAUUGGAUAUGCAAAAUGCCCGUUAUUUCCUUUCUGUGCAAUGAGUGAAUCUGGAAAUUGUACUUCUCAAA